rnacentral:rRNA from 1 species
CCUACGGGUGGCAGCAGUGGGGAAUAUUGCACAAUGGGGGAAACCCUGAUGCAGCGACGCCGCGUGAGUGAAGAAGUUUUUCGGUAUGUAAACUUCUAUCAGCAGGGACGAAAAUGACGGUACCUGAUUAAGAAGCUCCGGCUAACUACGUGCCAGCAGCCGCGGUAAUACGUAGGGGGCGAGCGUUAUCCGGAUUUACUGGGUGUAAAGGGAGCGUAGACGGCAACGCAAGUCUGCAGUGAAAUGAGGGGGCUUAACCCCGGAACUGCAUUUGAAACUGUUCAGCUGGAGUGCAGGAGAGGUAAGUGGAAUUCCUAGUGUAGCGGUGAAAUGCGUAGAUAUUAGGAGGAACACCAGUGGCGAAGGCGGCUUACUGGACUGUAACUGACGUUGAGGCUCGAAAGCGUGGGGAGCAAACAGGAUUAGAUACCCUUGUAGUC